GUGGUUUGGUAAAGUUUACAACGUUUGAUUCGUGAAGAGCCCAUUCAAAAAACCGACACGAUUUGUAAAAACAUACAGUACGAUCUUUAUUGAUGCCUUCCUUCUUCACCUUUCGAAAUGCACACGAAAACCCAUGAUGACAAAGUGGUUUCACCAUUGGUUCACAUCACCCCAUACCCAAGAGGAACACGGACUCUUCUUGUCAGAACACACGAAAAAUGGUCUUCCAUAACUUCCUUUCAUCAAAUCUUUGACGAUACGCAUUCUUGCAGGUUUAUGAUGCCCGUGGCAUUGCGCAUUGCGGUUGAGGCUGCUCCACAGCUAUGGCUUUUUCAAACUGGUAACCUUCGUGUUCCAAGCAGAAGAAAAUACAACUUGGGUUUUGACCACAAAACGAACCAUUCUUCGUUGUCGAUGUAGAAGCAGAU